UGGCGAUGGGACAAUCUCUAAUAAAAUCCUUGAAUCUCUCCCAUACUUGAUACAAAUUUUCCUCUGGCAUUUUUUUGAAGCUUAAGAUUUCACACCUUAGCCU
rfam:Capsicum annuum cultivar Zunla-1 chromosome 9, whole genome shotgun sequence